rnacentral:rRNA from 1 species
UACGAAGGGGGCUAGCGUUGUUCGGAAUUACUGGGCGUAAAGGGCGCGUAGGCGGUGCUUCAAGUCAGGCGUGAAAGCCCCGGGCUCAACCUGGGAACCGCGCUUGAGACUGGAGCACUAGAGUUCGGGAGAGGAUGGUGGAAUUCCCAGUGUAGAGGUGAAAUUCGUAGAUAUUGGGAAGAACACCGAUGGCGAAGGCAGCUAUCUGGACCGACACUGACGCUGAGGCGCGAAAGCGUGGGGAGCAAACAGG